UACAGAGGUGGCAAGCGUUGUUCGGAAUUACUGGGCGUAAAGGGCGCGUAGGCGGCUUGGUCAGUCCCGUGUGAAAUCCCUCGGCUCAACUGAGGAACUGCACGGGAAACUGCCCGGCUUGAGUUCGGGAGAGGGAAGCGGAAUUCCGGGUGUAGCGGUGAAAUGCGUAGAUAUCCGGAGGAACACCGGUGGCGAAGGCGGGUCUCUGGGCCGAUACUGACGCUGAGGAGCGAAAGCGUGGGGAGCGAACAGG
rnacentral:rRNA from 1 species